GAGGAGGUGAAGGACAGAGGGAAUAUGGAGACUGGAGAGCUGCACUCCAGAGACUGCUUUUGUGGACCACCAGGAAUUUCCUGUGAUAGAAUAUCAGAGAGCUACUGGUGACUAUGAGGAGGUGACUUCACAGGGCAAAAGUUCCCUCUCUACAAUAAACAUUCUCGAUGCUGCCAUGUAGGAGAUUUCCUACACAGUCUCCACUCCGAAAAGCCACUUGUCAUCUUGACACACAUGGACUGAGAAGAAAUAAUAACCAUUUGUGAGAGGU